UAUGGCGCAGCACAUGGGUAUAUGUCAAAAUUCUACCCAAAAAAAGUAAAGAGCCAGAAAAGAUAUCAGCAGGUUUAACACGAUGGAGGCAUCGUCAGAUGAUAUGGAGUCACUAAUCAACAAAACUAGAAUGCUUCAAUGUGUACUGGAAGAUGUUGAGCUAACACCAUAUUCAGAAAAUGCAAAGAAGGACCUAUAUAUCAUUGGUGGGUAAAAUUAUUUCAAAUAGAACAUUUGGAAAGAGAUGUUGUAACAGCCAUUCUUCGGAAAGCUUUGAACGUUUCAAAACCAUUAAUCCAGGUAAAUAUCUUACAAUCUAAUACUUUUUUAUUUGGGUUUGAGCAUGAAGAUGAUAGGGAUAAAGUUCUGUAGUGGGGUCCCGUGGAAUAUAAAUGGGGUCCCAUUUGGUGCUUAAGAAAUGGGAUCCUUAAAAAACACUUGAAGAAGGAAAACUUCAAGAAUACAGCUUUUUGGCUGCAAAUUCACGGGUUGCCUUUGUUAUAUGACCAAAGAGAAUGCUUCAAAAACAGAGGAACGGAUUGAUAAGGUACUAGAAGUGGAUUUCAACAAUGAUAGCAGGAUGAUAAAUUGGAGAUUUUUGAAAGUAAUUGGGUGGAAGCAGAUGUUGAAAAGCCACUGCCUGCAGGUUUCUUAUAGAGCAUAUUUCCAGUAUUCCUAGAGUACGUGUUCUUGAGUACAUGUUACAUGGAUUCUACCUCUAUAUUAAAGGUCGAAGCACGUAUUGUAUUUCAAAAUCAUCGUAAUUUUUUUUCCCCCUAAAAAAAAGCCUUGAACAAGGUACUGAAUCCAAUUUAAAUAUGAAAGAAUUUCUAAA